UGAACGUUACCAAACAGUUGCCUCGGCGGGAUCUCUGCCCCGGGUGCGUCGCAGCCCCGGACCAAGGCGCCCGCCGGAGGACCAACCAAAACUCUUUUUGUAUACCCCCUCGCGGGUUUUUUAUAAUCUGAGCCUUCUCGGCGCCUCUCGUAGGCGUUUCGAAAAUGAAUCAAAACUUUCAACAACGGAUCUCUUGGUUCUGGCAUCGAUGAAGAACGCAGCGAAAUGCGAUAAGUAAUGUGAAUUGCAGAAUUCAGUGAAUCAUCGAAUCUUUGAACGCACAUUGCGCCCGCCAGUAUUCUGGCGGGCAUGCCUGUCCGAGCGUCAUUUCAACCCUCGAACCCCUCCGGGGGGUCGGCGUUGGGGAUCGGCCCUGCCUCUUGGCGGUGGCCGUCUCCGAAAUACAGUGGCGGUCUCGCCGCAGCCUCUCCUGCGCAGUAGUUUGCACACUCGCAUCGGGAGCGCGGCGCGUCCACAGCCGUUAAACACCCAACUUCUGAAAUGUUGACCUCGGAUCAGGUAGGAAUACCCGCUGAACUUAAGCAUAU
rnacentral:rRNA from 1 species